rnacentral:rRNA from 1 species
GAAUACCGGAGAAUGUUAUCACGGGAGACACACGGCGGGUGCUAACGUCCGUCGUGAAGAGGGAAACAACCCAGACCGCCAGCUAAGGUCCCAAAGUCAUGGUUAAGUGGGAAACGAUGUGGGAAGGCCCAGACAGCCAGGAUGUUGGCUUAGAAGCAGCCAUCAUUUAAAGAAAGCGUAAUAGCUCACUGGUCGAGUCGGCCUGCGCGGAAGAUGUAACGGGGCUAAACCAUGCACCGAAGCUGCGGCAGCGACACUAUGUGUUGUUGGGUAGGGGAGCGU